rnacentral:rRNA from 1 species
CGGGACGGGUGAGUAAUGUCUGGGAAACUGCCUGAUGGAGGGGGGUAACUACUGGAAACGGUAGCUAAUACCGCAUAACGUCGCAAGACCAAAGAGGGGGACCUUAGGGCCUCUUGCCAUCGGAUGUGCCCAGAUGGGAUUAGCUAGUAGGUGGGGUAACGGCUCACCUAGGCGACGAUCCCUAGCUGGUCUGAGAGGAUGACCAGCCACACUGGAACUGAGACACGGUCCAG